UGCAACUGGAGUUAAACCCUCCAUUCCCCCAAUUCCAUUCUCACCAUCAAUGCUUGUGACCUCCAGCAAUGCCCUCGUCAGCUCUUCUCUGAGCUUUUUUAUCCAUUAGGCAAAACACACAUCAUUACGAAAAGGAACAGACAAGAACUAAAUUAAAUUAAUGAUGACGUCUGACAGCAUAAAGAUGAGAAUGGCCAACCAACUUUUAUCACGUUCAAGUGGGUUACACCAGUUGGAAGCAUUAUCCUCAUUAUAUUUAGACCAAUUCUUGACUUCAUGCAAAUCCGUACGUUCUCAGUGUUGCCCUGGUGUUUUUGCUCUAGAGAUAAAGCUGAUCAAGUUGGACUAAAAAUCUAGUGACUUAUUGCUAGGUUGCUAUACAACUGGCAAGGUUCGCUAGUGGAGAUUGAUUAUUGACAGCUCCUGAUUAAGCUCAUCCAUGAAGAUUGAAUACUCAAAAACUGUACUUAAAUUUCAAAUCCUAGAUUCAUACCCAAUAUCAAAUUAAGUAUUGGUUGACUUAGUGUUGUAAUUUAGGCAGGAUAAAAAAAAAAGUAACAUAAAGAAUAAGUUAUUAUUAUUAACACCCCACAUCCACAUCAAAAAGAGGAAAAAGAAAAGAAUUACUAAGCUACGUACUAUACCAUUUCUUGGAGCAGUAAAAAUGAUUUAAGAGCAUAGAGAAUUCCACAAGUUGAGGCCAAGAAUGAUUUGAAUUUGAAAAUUAAAGUUGAUUGUUGACUCUUUCAUCUCUAAUAGUCUCCAUAUGAUGGGUGUCCAUUAUUAUUAAAAUGCGAAAAGUCUACUUUCCAAGAGAAUCAAACUGGGGCUGUCGGCAGGCAUCUUAAAGCCCAAUUCGAUGCUAGCUUACCCCAAGUGAAAUAGAGCAAUUAAUAAUUAGCUUAAUGAGAAAAAAAUAUUGAAAUCGAAUUUUCUAGUCUAGCUUGGUAUGUUCUGUAAAAUGCAACUACGCUACAAAAAUUGCAACAUGUGAACGUAGAUUGUGAGCCU